CGUACCAUUAGCUAGUUGGUAGGGUAAUGGCCUACCAAGGCGACGAUGGUUAGCGGGUCUGAGAGGAUGAUCCGCCACACUGGAACUGAAACACGGACCAGACUCCUACGGGAGGCAGCAGUGAGGAAUAUUGCGCAAUGGGGGAAAGCCUGACGCAGCGACGCCGCGUGAGUGAUGAAGGCUUUCGGGUCGUAAAGCUCUGUCAAGGGGAAAGAAAUGUAUAGUGGUUAAUACGCAUUAUGUUUGACGGUACCAGCAAAGGAAGC
rnacentral:rRNA from 1 species